rnacentral:rRNA from 1 species
UGGGGAAUAUUGGGCAAUGGGCGCAAGCCUGACCCAGCAACGCCGCGUGAGGGAAGAAGGUCUUCGGAUUGUAAACCUCUGUCCUUGGGGACGAAAAAAAUGACGGUACCCAAGGAGGAAGCUCCGGCUAACUACGUGCCAGCAGCCGCGGUAAUACGUAGGGAGCGAGCGUUGUCCGGAAUUACUGGGCGUAAAGGGUGCGUAGGCGGUCAGGCAAGUCAGAUGGGAAAUCCCCGGGCUUAACUCGGGUGGUGCAUUUGAAACUGCUUGACUUGAGUGCAGGAGAGGAAAGCGGAAUUCCUAGUGUAGCGGUGAAAUGCGUAGAUAUUAGGAGGAACACCAGUGGCGAAGGCGGCUUUCUGGACUGUAACUGACGCUGAGGCACGAAAGCGUGGGGAGCAAACA